AAAUAAGAAGUAAAAUAUUACACUUAGUUUCGACCUAAGAAUUUGACUUGUGUCCUUAUUUU
rnacentral:tRNA from 1 species